CAGGCUCCGGCCGAGGGGGCAUUUAUAUUCCCUACCACCUAUCAGGUUGGCCUGGUCACCUGACAUCAAAGUUGGAUCACUGAACAAAGUUGGAAGGAUCAACCCUCGGCUUUGGGCCAUGAGCCCUCACGUCCGCCCACUCCCCAGGCCCAGGCCAGCUCCCUGGGGCUGGGCCAGAGAGGAUCGGAUCCGCUUCCCUCCAGGGCAGGCCAGGGGGCUGGGAGUGGGCGCUGUCCCCAGAGGGAGGGUCCCUGCGGGCACUUGGUCCAGGGGCCCACGCUGCCCCUCUAGUGCCACCUCCCCAACAACCUAUGACUCCAGCCGGCUCCGCAUCUUGGCCUGAGCCUUCUAGAAAGUUCCCUCACGUUCCUGCCUCCUGGGAGACACAGUGAGAAACUAAAGAGCAAAUGAGGUUGCUCGUGCGACAUGAGGGCUCCGGCCAGAAUCGCUGGGCCAGAAUAGACAAGGGCUGCUCCGGAGACGGGGCGGCCAGAUGUGGCGUGCGGAAGGCGGCCAGCACACAGAAUCUCUCACAGGCUGCCAAGGACAGCUCCGGGAGAACUGGGGACAUGUGACCGUGACCGUGGCCGGGAGACGGCAUCCUGGGCUGAGGGCUGGUCUUCUUCCUUCUGCACACAGCAGCACGGGUGUGAGGGGUACCCUGGUUUGUGGACAGGGGGGUGCUGGUUAGGGGUGGAGUGCCGUGACACCGGCAGCCUGCUUUCAAAUGCUCUAUCAUCGCUCCCUGUCAUCCAUCUAUUAUCAUUUAUCAAUCAUCUCUCAAUAAGAGAUGAUUAUCUGUCCAUCCUCUGUCUACCUAUCUAUCCACCAUCUUUAUCUGUCAUCUGUCUUCUAUCUUUCUGUCCAUCCUCUGUCUACCUAUCAAUCUGUCUUCCUAUGGAUCC
rnacentral:misc_RNA from 1 species